rnacentral:rRNA from 1 species
GCUUUAUAUAUUAUUUAGAUUUAAUUUAUUUAUAUAAAUAAAAAUUAUAUUUAAGUUAUAUAUUUUGUUGGGGCGAUGUAAGUAUAAUUUAUAUUAACUGCUUAAUAAAGAAUACAAUCAUAAGUGACUAAAUUAGUAUAUGAUCCUAAUUAAAGAUUAAAAGAUUAAGUU